rnacentral:rRNA from 1 species
GACGAACGCUGGCGGCGUGCUUAACACAUGCAAGUCGAACGGAAAGGCCCUGCUUGCAGGGUACUCGAGUGGCGAAUGGGUGAGUAACACGUGGGUGAUCUGCCCUGCACUUCGGGAUAAGCUUGGGAAACUGGGUCUAAUACCGGAUAGGAGCCAUCUUUAGUGUGGUGGUUGGAAAGUUUUUUCGGUGUAGGAUGAGCUCGCGGCCUAUCAGCUUGUUGGUGGGGUAAUGGCCUACCAAGGCGGCGACGGGUAGCCGGCCUGAGAGGGUGUACGGCCACAUUGGGACUGAGAUACGGCCCAGACUCCUACGGGAGGCAGCAGUGGGGAAUAUUGCACAAUGGGCGCAAGCCUGAUGCAGCGACGCCGCGUGGGGGAUGAAGGCCUUCGGGUUGUAAACUCCUUUCGCUAGGGACGAAGCUUUGUGUGACGGUACCUAGAUAAGAAGCACCGGCUAACUACGUG